rnacentral:rRNA from 1 species
CACGCCGUAAACGAUGAUCACUCGCUGUUAGCGAUACACAGUUAGCGGCUAAGCAAAAGCAUUAAGUGAUCCACCUGGGGAGUACGGCCGCAAGGCUGAAACUCAAAGGAAUUGACGGGGGCCCGCACAAGCGGAGGAACAUGUGGUUUAAUUCGAUGAUACGCGAGGAACCUUACCUGGGCUUAAAUGUUGAGUGCAUGAUGUGGAAACAUGUCUUCCCUUCGGGGCUCUCAGCAAGGUGC